rfam:TPA: Bos taurus chromosome 7, whole genome shotgun sequence.
UUCCUGGUGGCUCAAAUGGUAAAGAAUCUGCCUGCAAUGCAGGAGACCCUGGUUCAGUCUCUGGGUCAGGAAG